UCGUUCAUUUUUGGACGCGUAUGCGCAGCAACAUCCCCACAGGUUCUGUACCGGAAACAGAACUGAUUAGUUCACCUCUGGAGUCUUUGGUUCACUUCACAGCCCCACUGCCUUCGGAAUAUGGGGCAGUCACAUGAUGAACGAAUGCCUCGAACCUGAAGACUUGAGACGUGAACUAAUCAAAUGUGACGUGACAAAAGAAGAACGACUCGGAUCGGGAGGAGCUGAGUGCUUCCAGAGGCUGGGGGAGGUCCUUUGCUGCACCUUGGGCUUUACUUAAUUAAGGGUUGUUAUUAUUGCUGUGUUUAUUUGCAGUGAAUUUUGUGGGUAUGAUUCUGAUUAGUGGGGUGAUUUUCCCUUUUGUACAGCUGGUGCUGUCGUGCUAGCCUGCCCUUCAUACAGGAAGCCUCAGUCCUCCUAUGAUUAUUGUUCAUUUUCUCUUGUGACUGUUUUAUUUGACCAACGCCUGACUGUGUUGGCUGCUUUUUUUUAAAAAUAAUUCUUGGCCAGUUUUUUUAACUUCAAAAUAAAAUGUAUUUUUGUAUGGAAA